UGGGGAAUAUUGGACAAUGGGCGGAAGCCUGGUCCAGCAACGCCGCGUGAGGGAUGACGGCCUUCGGGUUGUAAACCUCUUUCACCAUUGACGAAGCUGCAUCUUUUGGUUGUGGUGACGGUAGGUGGGGAAGAAGCACCGGCCAACUACGUGCCAGCAGCCGCGGUAAUACGUAGGGUGCGAGCGUUGUCCGGAAUUAUUGGGCGUAAAGGGCUCGUAGGCGGUUUGUCGCGUCGGGAGUGAAAAACAUCCGGCUUAACUGGGUGCUUGCUUUCGAUACGGGCAGACUAGAGGUAUGCAGGGGAGAACGGAAUUCCUGGUGUAGCGGUGAAAUGCGCAGAUAUCAGGAGGAACACCGGUGGCGAAGGCGGUUCUCUGGGCAUGAUCUGACGCUGAGGAGCGAAAAGUGUGGGGAGCGAACA
rnacentral:rRNA from 1 species